AUUGAACGCUGGCGGCAGGCCUAACACAUGCAAGUCGAACGAGUGGCGGACGGGUGAGUAAUGUCUGGGAAACUGCCAGAUGGCGGGGGAUAACUACUGGAAACGGUAGCUAAUACCGCAUACCAUCGGAUGUUCCCAGAUGGGAUUAGCUAGUAGGUGGGGUAACGGCUCACCAAGGCGACAAUCCCUAGCUGGUCUGAGAGGAUGACCAGCAACACUGGAACUGAGACACGGCCCAGACUCCUACGGGAGGCAGCAUUGGGGAAUAUUGCCCAAUGGGCGAAAGCCUGAUGCAGCCAUGCCGCGUGGAUGAAGAAGGCCUUCGGGUUGUAAAGUACUUUCAGCGGGGAGGCGUUACCCGCAGAAGAAGCACCGGCUAACUCCGUGCCAGCCGCCGCGGUAAUAC
rnacentral:rRNA from 1 species